rnacentral:tRNA from 1 species
GAGGGUACAGCUCAGUGGCAGAGCACAUGCUUAGCAUGCAUGAGGUCCUAGGUUCAAUCCCCACUACCUCUA